rnacentral:lncRNA from 10 species
AGUCUCCUGAGGCCUCCCCAGAAGCCAAGCAGACACCAGCAUCAGGCUUCCCCUGCAGCCUGAAGAACCGUGAGCCAAUUCAGCCUCUUUUCUGUAUCAAGUACACAGUCUCAGGAGGACCUGGCGGGCUGCACAUAGGCAGACGGUCCACGGAGCCACAGCCGGGACCCGCACAGAACCACUCGGGGCCCAGCCCUAGAUGAGAGCUCAACAGCGAGGAGAGCCCUGACCUGGAGCGACAGCCCGAGGCCCCUGCUGCACUUGAGCUGCAGAGAGGGAGGCCAUGAGCUCCGACAUCACAGAUGGAAGGCCGAGCGCAGUGGCUCACGCCUGGAAUCCCAGCACUGUGGGAGGCCGUAGCAGGCGGAUCGCCUGAGGUCGGUGGGUCACGUGAGGUCAGGAGUUCGAGACCAUCCUGGCCAACAUGACGAAACCCCAUCUCUACUGAAAACACAAAAAUUAGCCAGGCAUGGUGGCAGAUCUCUGUAAUCCCAGCUACUUGGAAGGCGGAAGCGGGAGAAUCACUUGAACCCAGGCGGCAGAAGUUGCAGAGAGCUGAGAUCUUGCCACUGUAUUCCAGCCUGGGUGACAGAGUGAGACUCUAUCUCAAAAAAAUAAAAAAUAAAAUAAAAUAAACACAGAUGGGAAAAUGUCCCCAGCCCCCAAAAUACCACAAUGAAUCCGAAAGCCAAACGAUCUGGGAAAGAAACAUUUCUACAUGUACGCCACAGAGAAUGCUAAUAUCUUCCGUUUACAAAGGGCUUUAUAAAUCAGUAUUAAAAACCGGAAAGGACAUGAACAACUCACAAAAGAAAAAGGCAAAUGGCUACUAAAUACAUGGAAAAAAUGCGGAGCCUCAGCAGUGAAUGAAAACGUGCAGGGUAACAAGCGUCAGAGCUCGGCCCAUGAGGGCACACCAGGGUGGCUGGUUCACAUCCACAGUUGAUGGAGGAAGGAACGGGCGUGAGCCCAUGGCCGUAAAAUCAGUGCAACUCGGCCCGGCGCGGUGGCUCAUGCCUGUAAUCCCAGCACUUUGAGAAGCCAAGGAGGGAGGAUUUCUUGAGUUCAGGAGUUCAAGACCAGCCUGGG